ensembl:ncRNA T03F7.14 ncRNA
CCUCAAGGGUGGUUCUAAUCAGGGGAUCUCAGCUGACACGCAUGAAAAGCAUCACAGGCGGGAAUUGAACUCGGGUGUGUCGUGUCCCGAGGCA